rnacentral:rRNA from 1 species
CAGCCGCCACGGGAAAACGGAGGGGGCUAGCGUUGUUCGGAAUUACUGGGCGUAAAGCGCACGUAGGCGGCUUGGUAAGUUAGAGGUGAAAGCCCGGAGCUCAACUCCGGAAUUGCCUUUAAGACUGCCGAGCUAGCAGGUGAGAGAGGUAAGUGGAAUUCCGAGUGUAGAGGUGAAAUUCGUAGAUAUUCGGAAGAACACCAGUGGCGAAGGCGACUGACUGGACAAGUAUUGACGCUGAGGUGCGAAAGCGUGGGGAGCAAACAGGAUUAGAUACCCGCGUAGUCCCUGUCUCUUAUAC